UACGUAGGGUGCGAGCGUUAAUCGGAAUUACUGGGCGUAAAGCGUGCGUAGUCGGUUAUCUAAGUCGGGUGUGAAAUCCCCGGGCUCAACCUGGGAAUUGCAUUCGAUACUGGAUAGCUAGAGUUCGGCAGAGGGAAGCGGAAUUUCGGGUGUAGCGGUGAAAUGCGUAGAUAUCUGGAGGAACACCGGUGGCGAAGGCGGCAUCCUGGACCGACAUUGACGCUGAGGCGCGAAAGCUAGGGGAGCAAACGGG
rnacentral:rRNA from 1 species